AUCAUAGGUGAUGAAACAAAUAGAAGUUAUUUUUGGUUUUUUAUAUUAUUGGACAUUGGAGAUCGACCUGUAAGUUGCAGAUAUUUAUUGAAUAUUGCAAAACGUGCGUUGGAAACUGAAAUGUCUUACCGAUAUUUUCGAGGGUAUUUGAAUGUUGUCAGCAUUGUCGCAAUGAAUCAUGUAGGAUUUUAUGAACGUAUGGUGAUGAAUAUGCUUCUACAGUAUGCAGAAAGGUUUAGACGAAGUAUUAGACUAAAUAGCAUAUCAAAUACAAGACAGAAACAAAGGAUAAACAACAGUCAGAGACAACCUACAAAGUAUGUUGACAUAGCUGUCACUGUUAUAGCAAUGGUUGGCACUGCAUGUUAUUUCUUCUGGAUAUAGAAGGAAUCUAUUGAACAGCCAAAUCACCUUUAUAUAUAGUUUGUCUUCCAAUUGAAUUCAAAGAUAUUUGUAUAGAGGAUUUGUGCACAUCACUCAUGGUUUACUUUUAUAAAUUGUAACUUGGACGGAGAGUUGUCUCAUUGGCACGUAUAACAAAUCUUAUUAUAUCAAUGUUGGUAUUUGUUGAGAAUCACAAAUAGACAAAUAUGACUUGAUAGACCAAAGGAUAAAUUUUCAACCAUGGAAGUAUCUGAAUAAUGCAUAAAGAAUGCUAUGAAGAUAACUCAUUAAAAUUUUGCAGUCACUAUGGAGAAAAAAAGCUAUAUUUUAUUUUGAUCAACAAAAUAAAACAUAACAAAUUUGAUGAAACAUUUGAUGGAUAGAGUAAAAUCUAUGACAAAUUCGUAUCAUAUACCAUACCAUGGCAACCUAAGUUCCUUACCCACUAUUGAUAUUGGUCAAACCGAGGGUCAAACAUGCAUACUGACUUCAAAAUCAAUAAUAAACGAUUAUGUAUUUUCUAUUUUGAUUUAUAUAAUUUAUAAAAAAACAUGUUGUCAUAAAUUUGUUACUUGUGUAUACAGCUUUUAAUUAUCUCUUUUAAGAAUCAUUCAUUGUAUUGGAUUUAUAUAUAACAAGUAGUUUACUUGAUGUUAGUGAUAAUUCUUUUUAAUGGUUAUGCAUUGAUUACCAUGAUUACAGUGGAAGAUCCAAAGGUUUUAAAAUGGAGGAGGUGCCAACUGCAAAAAAUAUUAAAAAAAAUCUUAAGCCACCUUUAUCUAUCGCGUUUUAUAAUUGGAAGAUUGAUUUGGGUUUAAAUCAAGAUGUAUUGUACACUGUUAUCUAGGCAGGAAAAUAACAAACUGUGAUAAUUAAAUUAUAUAUAUAUUGUUUUAUCAUAUUUUGAUAUAUAUUAUGUACUCAAAAUAAUAUUUUUACACUUGUCAUGUAUUGCAAUAAUUAUAGUUUUACUUA